GAAGCGAGUGGGCCCUCGAAAUCCUUUCGUCGAGGGGGAAUUCAGUCCGCGGUCUGACGCGUUCGGACUUCGGGCAGGGACGUAGCUCCACCGAGUUCUUCGGGGGGAGGGAUCCGCCCGAGGUCGCUGUGCGCUCGACGCGGGGAUGCAUUUUCCCCCGGCGUUGGAGGACGCCGCAGCCGAUCGGGUGAUCUUGAAGUCCGCGAGCGUCGCGCGCAAUACCGCCAGUAGCCGAGGUCGUCGCUAGCCGCGGGUCCGCAGAGGUGCGUCACCCACCUGGGCCCGGGGUCAGGCGGCGUCUGAGGCAGGGCGAGCGCCUCGCGCGGGCACCCGAUCGUGAGAGAAGGGUUCGUUGAGAGUCGGGGGGCGCAAGAACGCCCCCCGGAAGCCGCGGCGAUCCCGCUCCGGGAGAAGUGCCGGCACGGGUCUCUGUUAUUUAUUGAAGUGCCGGUCCUCCGCGGGGUCCCCGGGCCCCCGUCCGCGGGGUCCGGGGGUCGUGGCCGAAGGGACGCAGUCGAUGCCGCGAGUCCUGCUGUUGAGCCCCUCUCGAGGUGGAGCAUCGGGGACGGAACGUUUCGCGGGGCUGUACGAGACCUCGGCCCGAGGAGUGGGGGAUCCGAAGGCUGGCGGCGAAGUAGGUCGGUCGCCCACCCGUCCCGUCUUGAAACACGGACCGAGGAGUCUAACGUGUGCGCGAGUCAGUGGGACUUGGCCAUGCCCACGGGCGCAGCGAGAGCGAGACCGGAAGUCGACGCAGUCAAUGCGACGGCCGCGAUCCCCGGAUGAGAGAGCCGGCGGAGCAGCGGCGGCCCGCCCCCGCGCACGAGUGGCCGGGGCGGCGUCGGAGCGCACAGGUUGGUACCCGAAAGUAGGUGAUCUAUACUUGGGCUCGGUCGAGGCCAGGGGAAACCCUGAUGGAGGACCGCAGGGGUUCUGACGUGCAAAUCGAUCCCUCGACCUGGGCAUGGG
rnacentral:rRNA from 1 species